GGGGCUGUAGCGCAGUUGGGAGCGCGCUUGAAUGGCAUUCAAGAGGUCAGGGGUUCGACUCCCCUCAGCUCCACCA
rnacentral:tRNA from 1 species